rnacentral:hammerhead_ribozyme from 1 species
AGUUUUCUGAAGAGUCCUACAAUAGGACGAAACGGUCGUCCAGU